CAGUAGCCGCGGGAAAACAGAGGGUGCAAGCGUUAAUCGGAAUUACUGGGCGUAAAGCGCGCGUAGGUGGUUUGUUAAGUUGGAUGUGAAAUCCCCGGGCUCAACCUGGGAACUGCAUCCAAAACUGGCAAGCUAGAGUAUGGUAGAGGGUGGUGGAAUUUCCUGUGUAGCGGUGAAAUGCGUAGAUAUAGGAAGGAACACCAGUGGCGAAGGCGACCACCUGGACUGAUACUGACACUGAGGUGCGAAAGCGUGGGGAGCAAACAGGAUUAGAUACCCCUGUAGUCCCUGUCUCUUAUAC
rnacentral:rRNA from 1 species